rnacentral:rRNA from 1 species
AUACGGAGGAUCCGAGCGUUAUCCGGAUUUAUUAGGUUUAAAGGGUGCGCAGGCGGAACUGUAAGUCACCGGUGAAAUCCUACAGCUUAACUGUAGAACUGCCGGUGAUACUGCGAUUCUUGAGUAUAGUUGAGGUAGGCGGAAUGUGUAGUGUAGCGGUGAAAUGCAUAGAUAGUACACAGAACACCGAUUGCGAAGGCAGCAUACUAGAGUGUCACUGACGCUGAUGCACGAAAGCGUGGGUAUCGAACAGGAUUAGAAACCCCGGUAGUCC